UGAGAGGUAGCCAAGUAGGUAAGGCACCGACCUGUUAAGUCGGCCAUGCGUGGGUUCGAGUCCCACCUUCUCAGCCA
rnacentral:tRNA from 1 species